GAUGAACGCUGGCGGCGUGCCUAAUACAUGCAAGUCGAGCGAACAGACGAGGAGCUUGCUCCUCUGACGUUAGCGGCGGACGGGUGAGUAACACGUGGAUAACCUACCUAUAAGACUGGGAUAACUUCGGGAAACCGGAGCUAAUACCGGAUAAUAUAUUGAACCGCAUGGUUCAAUAGUGAAAGACGGUUUUGCUGUCACUUAUAGAUGGAUCCGCGCCGCAUUAGCUAGUUGGUAAGGUAACGGCUUACCAAGGCAACGAUGCGUAGCCGACCUGAGAGGGUGAUCGGCCACACUAGAACUGAGACACGGUCCAGACUCCUGCGGGAGGCAGCAGUAGGGAAUCUUCCGCAAUGGGCGAAAGCCUGACGGAGCAACGCCGCGUGAGUGAUGAAGGUCUUCGGAUCGUAAAACUCUGUUAUUAGGGAAGAACAAAUGUGUAAGUAACUAUGCACGUCUUGACGGUACCUAAUCAGAAAGCCACGGCUAACUACGUG
rnacentral:rRNA from 1 species